UCAAACUGGUGGUGCACGUUUCAGACGUAAAACAUAUACUUAUAUUUAUAUAUGUAUAUAAGUAUAUAAAUAAAAUUUGUGAUACAAAACCAAUAAAUAAUACACAUUGUCAGUUAUUUUGCUGAAUUUUUCUGAUGGCUACAAUAACAGAUUUGCCCGACGAUGUGAUUAUUAUCAUUCUGGGAAGGACGAGCUUCGAGGAUAUCGUGAAUUUUCAGUCCACGUGCAAAAGACUUCAGCAGAUAACACUAUUCAACAAGUUUUGCUGAAGGAAAUAUUAUCAGAGCUGUCCUACUGCAGAAAAUAAAUAUAACAAAACGAAACAGAAGAAAAUAUUUCAUCAAAUCAAUUUCAAAGAAAAACUAAAAGCAGGAUUAUAUCAUGUUCAAAAGUUCCAAAAUUAUGUGUCUUUGAUGUCCGAAAAUAAGUUAACUGAUAUUGACAAAAACAAUUCAAACACCAUUUGCGUUCAACUGUUCAAAUUUCCAUGACGUAUUAUCUUGUGUGGGAUGAGAUAGAAAGAAUUUCUGCGCAAAAAUUAUACGAAUUGUUUCCCAAUUUGACGCGUGAAUAUUACUUGAAGCUGACUUGUCACUACCUAAAACAGUAUCGAUUUAUACAUAAGCAAAUGAAACUUAUGUUAAAGCAGAAGACAAAAUUACUUUUGGAAAAACAACUUACGAUUAUAGCGCAAUAUUUUCAACUACAUGUGUCUGUAAAAACGUGGCUAGAUGAAAUAGCAAUCAGUACUAUCUCGUCUGAAAAAUAAAUAUAGUAAUCAUUCAAUUUACAACUACGGCUUCAGAGCAAUUUUCUUUUUGGAGAGAUUAUAAUAUUGAUGAUAAUUUCUGGGAUGAAACAGAAUCAAGGCAAAUUAUGUGUGUUCUCAAACAAUAUAUAUUUUCCGAAUUAGAGAUUCCUGAAUUUCAUAAAUUAUUAAUUUCCUCAACAUUAGACUUUGAAGCCGAAGAUAUG